rnacentral:rRNA from 1 species
AUUGAACGCUGGCGGAAUGCUUUACACAUGCAAGUCGAACGGCAGCACGGACUUCGGUCUGGUGGCGAGUGGCGAACGGGUGAGUAAUACAUCGGAACGUGCCCAAUCGUGGGGGAUAACGUAGCGAAAGCUACGCUAAUACCGCAUACGAUCUAAGGAUGAAAGCGGGGGAUCGCAAGACCUCGCGCGAUUGGAGCGGCCGAUGGCAGAUUAGGUAGUUGGUAGGGUAAAGGCCUACCAAGCCGACGAUCUGUAGCUGGUCUGAGAGGAUGAUCAGCCACACUGGGACUGAGACACGGCCCAGACGCCUACGGGAGGCAGCAGUGGGGAAUUUUAGACAAUGGACUCAAGUCUGAUCCAGCCAUUCCGCGUGCAGGAUGAAGGCCCUCGGGUUGUAAACUGCUUUUGUACAGAACGAAAAGGCUCUGGUUAAUACCUAGGGCGCAUGACGGUACUGUAAGAAUAAGCCCCCGCUAACUACGUGCCAGCCGCCGCAGUAA